rnacentral:rRNA from 1 species
CGGUAAAUCCAGCUCCAAUAGCGUAUAUUAAAGUUGUUGCAGUUAAAAAGCUCGUAGUUGGAUCUCGGGCUCGCCGGUACGCGGUCUCGCGGGUCCAAGGCUAGACGCCGCCUGCGAUGCACCGCCUCCGGCGCCCAUCCGGCGGGAGGACGACCAAACCGGUCCGUCCUGCCCCCCUGCGACCCGCCGUGGCCGCACGGGGAGGCAGUUGCUGGUGCCCUUGACUGUGGCUGCCAGCGGCGCCCGUCCGUUUUACUUUGAAAAAAUUAGAGUGUUCAAGGCAGGCUCUGACGGCCUGAAUAAUGGUGCAUGGAAUAAUGGAAGAGGACCUCGGUCCUAUUCUGUUGGUUCUGCGGGACUCGAGGUAAUGAUUGAGAGGGACAGCCGGGGGCAAUCGUACUGCGGCGUGAGAGGUGAAAUUCUUGGACCGCCGCAAGACGAACUACUGCGAAAGCAUUUGCCAAGAAUGUUUUCAUUAAUCAAGAACGAAAGUCAGAGGUUCGAAGACGAUCAGAUACCGUCCUAGUUCUGACCCUAAACGGUGCCGACCAGCGAUCCGCCGGAGUCGUAACUAUGACCCGGCGGGCAGCCCCCGGGAAACCUACCAAGUCUUUGGGUUCCGGGGGAAGUAUGGUUGCAAAGCUGAAACUUAAAGGAAUUGACGGAAGGGCACCACCAGGAGUGGAGCCUGCGGCUUAAUUUGACUCAACACGGGGAAACUCACCCGGCCCGGACACUGUAAGGAUUGACAGAUCGAGAGCUCUUUCUUGAUUCGGUGGGUGGUGGUGCAUGGCCGUUCUUAGUUGGUGGAGCGAUUUGUCUGGUUAAUUCCGAUAACGAACGAGACUCCGGCCUGCUAAAUAGUCCGCCCCCCCGCCAAUGGGAGGGGCGACGAAUCGGCACUUCUUAGAGGUUCCGGCGGCGUUCCAGCCGCAUGGAACCGGGGCGAUAACAGGUCUGUGAUGCCCUUAGAUGUUCGGGGCCGCACGCGCGCUACACUGAGAGAGGCAGAGGGUCGAGUCCUGGUCUGGCGAGGCCGGGCAACCCGUUACCAAACUCUAUCGUGCUAGGGACUGGGGCUUGCAAUUUUGCCCCACCAACGAGGAAUUCCCAGUAAGCGCGAGUCAUCAGCUCGUGUUGAUUACGUCCCUGCCCUUUGUACACACCGCCCGUCGCUACUACCGAUCGGAUGGUUUAGUGAGGCCGUCGGACGGGCCCCGGGCGGGCCGGGCAACCGGCCUGCUGUCUUGGUGCUGCCUGAAAGACGGUCGAACUUGAUCAUUUAGAGGAAGUAAAAGUCGUAACAAGGUUUCCG